AGAGUUUGAUCCUGGCUCAGGAUGAACGCUAGCGACAGGCCUAACACAUGCAAGUCGAGGGGCAUCGGGGCGAGGAGCAAUCCUUGCCGCCGGCGACCGGCGCACGGGUGAGUAACGCGUAUGCGACCUGCCCGUUGCAGGGGGAUAAUCGGGAGAAAUCCCGUCUAAUACCGCGUAACGCCGCGGGGCUGCAUGGCCCUGCGGCCAAAGGGAGCGAUUCCGGCAACGGAUGGGCAUGCGUGACAUUAGCUAGUUGGCGGGGCAACGGCCCACCAAGGCGACGAUGUCUAGGGGUUCUGAGAGGAAGGUCCCCCACACUGGUACUGAGACACGGACCAGACUCCUACGGGAGGCAGCAGUGAGGAAUAUUGGUCAAUGGGCGCGAGCCUGAACCAGCCAAGUCGCGUGAGAGAUGACGGCCCUACGGGUUGUAAACCUCUUUUGUCGGGGAGCAAAUUCCGCCACGCGUGGCGGAGUCGAGAGUACCCGAAGAAAAAGCAUCGGCUAACUCCGUGCCAGCAGCCGCGGUAAUACGGAGGAUGCGAGCGUUAUCCGGAUUUAUUGGGUUUAAAGGGUGCGUAGGCGGACUGUCAAGUCAGCGGUAAAAUACGGGGGCUCAACCUCCGCCCGCCGUUGAAACUGACGAUCUUGAGUGGGCGAGAAGUAUGCGGAAUGCGUGGUGUAGCGGUGAAAUGCAUAGAUAUCACGCAGAACUCCGAUUGCGAAGGCAGCAUACCGGCGCCCAACUGACGCUGAAGCACGAAAGCGUGGGUAUCGAACAGGAUUAGAUACCCUGGUAGUCCACGCAGUAAACGAUGAAUACUAGCUGUCCGGGGCGAAAUGAGCUCUGGGUGGCACAGCGAAAGCUUUAAGUAUUCCACCUGGGGAGUGGGCCGGCAACGGUGAAACUCAAAGGAAUUGACGGGGGCCCGCACAAGCGGAGGAACAUGUGGUUUAAUUCGAUGAUACGCGAGGAACCUUACCCGGGCUCAAACGACACAGGAACGGUCCUGAAAGGGGUCGGCUCUACGGAGCCUGUGUCGAGGUGCUGCAUGGUUGUCGUCAGCUCGUGCCGUGAGGUGUCGGCUUAAGUGCCAUAACGAGCGCAACCCCCAUCGACAGUUGCUAACAGAUUAGGCUGAGGACUCUGUCGAGACUGCCGGCGCAAGCUGCGAGGAAGGCGGGGAUGACGUCAAAUCAGCACGGCCCUUACGUCCGGGGCGACACACGUGUUACAAUGGCAGGUACAGCGGGAAGCCAGCUGGCGACAGGGAGCGGAACCCGAAAGCCUGUCUCAGUUCGGAUUGGAGUCUGCAACCCGACUCCAUGAAGCUGGAUUCGCUAGUAAUCGCGCAUCAGCCACGGCGCGGUGAAUACGUUCCCGGGCCUUGCACUCACCGCCCGUCAAG
rnacentral:rRNA from 1 species